rnacentral:rRNA from 1 species
AGCGAACGCUGGCGGCAGGCCUAACACAUGCAAGUCGAACGAACCUUUCGGGGUUAGUGGCGGACGGGUGAGUAACACGUGGGAACGUGCCUUUAGGUUCGGAAUAACUCAGGGAAACUUGUGCUAAUACCGAAUGUGCCCUUCGGGGGAAAGAUUUAUCGCCUUUAGAGCGGCCCGCGUCUGAUUAGCUAGUUGGUUGAGGUAAUGGCUCACCAAGGCGACGAUCAGGAGCUGGGCUGAGAGGAUGAUCAGCCACAUUGGGACUGCGACACGGCCCAAACUCCUACGGGAGGCAGCAGUGGGGAAUCUUGCGCAAUGGGCGAAAGCCUGACGCAGCCAUGCCGCGUGAAUGAUGCAGGUCUUAGGAUUGUAAAAUUCUUUCACCGGGGACGAUAAUGACGGUACCCGGAGAAGAAGCCCCGGCUAACUUCGUG